rnacentral:rRNA from 1 species
GUGUCAGCCGCCGCGGUAAUACGUAGGGUGCAAGCGUUAAUCGGAAUUACUGGGCGUAAAGGGUACGCAGGCGGCUAGGAAAGAAGGAUGUGAAAUCCCAGGGCUCAACCUUGGAACUGCAUUCUUAACUGCCUAGCUAGAGUAUGUCAGAGGGGGGUAGAAUUCCACGUGUAGCAGUGAAAUGCGUAGAUAUGUGGAGGAAUACCGAUGGCGAAGGCAGCCCCCUGGGAUAAUACUGACGCUCAGGUACGAAAGCGUGGGGAGCAAACAGGAUUAGAUACCCUGGUAGUCCACGCCCUAAACGAUGUCAACUAGCUGUUGGGGCCAAUAGGCCUUAGUAGCGCAGCUAACGCGUGAAGUUGACCGCCUGGGGAGUACGGUCGCAAGAUUAAA